UGAGUGCAGGUGCUUCGAUAUUAGAUAUCUUCCAAGUUGUCAAAACACUUUCUAACAAUCACUAUGGCUAGCGCAAGCUUCAUUCAAGCAAGAUUCGUUAAACCCGAGUUAACUAUUCGCUUUAUAAAUUCUUACACCUCGGCUGAUGAGUAGUGUUGUCGCAGUAGAACUGGCAGCCGGCUGCUAGCUGGAGCUGGUCCGGUGCCGGAGGUCCCGUGUGGGCGCCACUUGAUCCUCGAGUUGACCCGUCUGCCGGCUGCCGCUCUCAAUUGUAUAAUUAUUGUGAUUCACCCAUUAAUUAGCUCGCCACUAACGUUCCGGAUGACCCUUGGGCCCUUAUUUGACAAUAUAUUUGAUAAGGUUUCUUCUCUUGCUUGACUUCCAAUAUUAUUAAUGCUAGUUUGACUGCUAAUUGUCGUUUCCUGCCGAGUCUGAAUUAAAUAUAUCAAUAUAAUAUUGGUUUCCAUUUUGCAAGUUCAUGCUAAGACGAUCACCUCGGCUCAAUUCAACGGCUUUGAUGGUGUGGGCACCAUAAUAUGCUAAACACGGUACUGCAGGUCGCCAUCACGUCGCGUGACCUCUUUACGUGGGUUAGGACUUGUUGGCACCACGUGCUAAACACGGUGCCGCAGGUCGCCAUCACGUCACGUGAUCUCUGUAUGUGGGUUAGGACUUGUAGCAGACAAACACAGUUGGUGUGGGCACCACGUGCUAAACACGGUGCCGCAGGUCGCCAUCACGUCGCGUGACCUCUGAAUGUGGGUUAGGACUUGUUGGCACCACGUGCAAAACACGGUGCCGCAGGUCGCCAUCACGUCGCGUAACCUCUGUAUGUGGGUUAGGACUUGUUGCUGACAAACACAGUUGGUGUGGGCACCACGUGCUAAACACGGUGCCGCAGGUCGCGUGACCUCUGUACUUGGGUAAGGACUUGUUGCUGACCAACACAGUUGGUGUGGGCACCACGUGUUAAACACGGUGCUGCAGGUCGCCAUCACGUCACGUGACCUCUGUAUGUGGGUUAGGACUUGUUGCAGACAAACACAGUUGGUGUGGGCACCACGUGCUAAACACGGUGCCGCAGGUCGCCAUCACGUCACGUGAUCUCUGUAUGUGGGUUAGGACUUGUUGCUGACAAACACAGUUGGUGUGGGCACCACGUGCUAAACACGGUGCCGCAGGUCGCGUGACCUCUGUAUGUGGGUUAUGACUUGUUGCUGACCAACACAGUUCGCUCAGGUGUUUAUGAUAUAUAAAUAAAAUAAUAUUUAACAUUAUAAUAUUGUAUUCAAAUAGUUACAAAAUGAUAGAACAUGUAUUAGGACAGCGGCCGACCGCGACGUGAGGUGGGACAGGUUGUGUCUAUCAGGUUCAAUUACACCUGGGGCACAACAUAUUAUACUCAUUAUAUUAUUUAAUACUAUUACAUAAAAUAAAAUAUUUUAUUACAUAA